rnacentral:lncRNA from 1 species
CGGCGCUCGGGGCAUCGCAGCGGCGGUUCCCUGCGCGGUCUCACGGCAGCCCCCGUCCCCUCCCCGGCAAGGGCCCCGGCGGCGGAGGCGCUCACCCCCGGCUCUCCGCCGAGAGCGCGCCCGUCCCAGAGCCGCCGGAGCGGGGAAAUCUUAAAAGAUCUGCUGCAAAGGAAGUUGGAAAUGUGAUACUCUGC